GAAGACGUACCUAAAUUUUAAAGGACCACUUUGAUAGGGUGUGUUGUGGGGGUUAAAGUCCCCCCGUCUUUC
rnacentral:tRNA from 1 species